GGAUCGUGUCUGAAGUUUCCAUCGACCCCAUGAAAGUUGUGGAAGACGCCGUGUUGGAGUUCGCAGACAAGAAAGAUUUGUUCGUGGCUUACAUGUCAAGCAUGCUUGUUGGGGAUCAAGGUGAACCUGUGGCCACGCCCAGUGUAAAUGUAGUAACUGAAGAAGAUGAAACGGUAGCUUCUCCAUCCGAUAUAACUUUGGUGAGAAAAAAAGG